GACGAACGCUGGCGGCGUGCUUAACACAUGCAAGUCGAACGGAAAGGCCCUGCUUUUGUGGGGUUCUCGAGUGGCGAACGGGUGAGUAACACGUGAGUAACCUGCCCUUGACUUUGGGAUAACUUCAGGAAACUGGGGCUAAUAUCGGAUAGGAUCUCCUGAUGCAUGGUGGGGGUUGGAAAGUUUCGGCGGUUGGGGAUGGACUGGCGGCUUAUGAGCUGGUUGGUGGGGUAGUGGCGUCCCAAGGGUUUGACGGGUAGCCGGCCUGGGAGGGUGGCCGGGGACAUUAGGACUGAGGUACGGCGCAGACUCCUACGGGAGGCAGCAGUGGGGAAUAUUACACAGUGGCCGGGAGCGUGAUGCGACGGCGCCGCGUGCGUGAUGCCGUCCUUCGGGUUGUAAACCGCUUUCGCCUGAGACGAAGCGUGAGUGACGGUACUGGGUCAAGAAGCACCGGCUAACUACGUG
rnacentral:rRNA from 1 species